ACGCUCGACACCUACGGGAGGGCAGCAGUUGGGAAUAUUGGACAAUGGAGGAAACUCUGAUCCAGUGACGCCGCGUGAAGGAAGAAGGUCUUCGGAUUGUAAACUUAUUUUGUCAGGGAAGAAAAAUGACUGUACCUGAAGAAAAAGCACCGGCUAACUACGUGCCAGUAGCCGCGGUAAUCUGAGCGGGCUGGCAAGGC
rnacentral:rRNA from 1 species